GAGAAUUGAACAUCUUUGUUACUAAAAAGCAUCAAUUUGUAUCACAAAUAUUUCAACACAUUAAGCCAUCCCAGAUCAAGCAGAAGUACAUAUACAUGUCAAACUGGGAAGUAUCCGAAUGCAUGAGCAACUUAAGGACCGAAAUUAGUAUUUGAAUACAUGGGAACAUAACACAAGAGGCGUACAUAGAUCAUUUUUAGUACAUGGCCGGCAGGACGAAAUGUUAAGGACUGAAAUUAUCACUGCCCAACAUGCAUCUUGAUAGUACAUGAGAGAAAGAUCUAUCAUUUUCCCUCCUGUUUUAGUGCUUCCUAGUAAUCGAGCAUCAUCUGCUGUGAGAGAUGACAACCUCCAUGGACUCUUAUACAUUUAUCAGUUCAAUCUACCUAGCUAAGAACACGAAAUAAAUAUGUGUCAGUUAGAAACAAAUACGAAAUACCAGGAGAUGCCUAACAGAGAUGUUACUAUAUUCAAAUUUGAUAGCAGGAGAUGCAGAUUAUAUUCGAAUUCGAUAGCAUCAUUCACUGAGAAAAUUCGACAUGAACAAAAAAAUUAGAUUCAGAUAAAUUGCAGCAUUAAUCUACUUGAUAGAAAUUGAGAUGUAGCAGAAAUUACUAGGAAAUAAAAGUUAACAUCUACUCCCUCCGUCCGGAAAUACUUGUCAUCAAAAUGAAUGUAUCUAAAACUAAAAUACAUCUAGAUACAACUAUUUCAAUGACAAGUAUUUCCGGACGGAGGGAGUACUUACUACAAAAAUGAAGCACCUCCUCGCACUGCCGAUCGGGAAGGAGCUGGGGAGACCACAACCGACUUGCCGCCGACGUGGGGGAGGAGGAUGCGAUCUAUUACUGGAGCCUUAGAGAGAGGGGGAGGAGGUGACGAACCUAGAACUAUCGGACCUUCAGAACGGAGGUUGCGACGAGGACAGUGUGGAACGGAGGUUGGGGGCUGACGAGCUCCAAUCUGGUCCAGUCUCAAACUGGGCCGCCAGCCACACAACGGCAAGGAGCCAUUGGGAGAUCUGGAGCAGGGAGUACUCGUCUAGCUUGCAAAAGGGAUCUGGGUCGCCGCCGCCGCCGCCGCUGGGGAAAAAUCUGUUCGUGCGCUGCCUCUCCCCAGG
rnacentral:lncRNA from 1 species